GAAACUACAAUAGUAGCCUAAAUACAGAACAACUGUUUAAUAACUUAACUGGGCUAGGUUGGAGUAAAACACAAACCUCCUUUUCCAGUAUCUCCUUGUUCUUGAUGGAACCUCAUAUUCCGAAUCAGGGGCAGUGUAUUUUCUUGUCCUUCCGUCCAUGCCUCUCUUCUUGUGGAACGACGGAACCCUCAACGUCAUCAAACAAUGCUUCAACAGUGACUGGACAGCUCACUCCGUUGCCGCUCGGUUUCCAGUGGUAAAUAAAUAUCCCAUCCUUUUUCUCUACGUUUUGUAAAGCGAGCACGUUGUAGAUAAAUGAUACCGAAGCUAAAACGUUGUAUUGAUGAUACGGAGGCUAAAGCAGAAGUUAAAACGUUGUAUUAAAUUGACCAACGGAACCUAAAAAACAACACUACCCAGAAUCCUACGGUAUAAAAGCAACGUUUCGUCAACGGUCGAGCUAGUUGUCACAUGGGUAGAAUAGGCGCGAAUGUCAAGCUGCGCAACCAGAACAAUUUUAGCAAGGUAAACAAGCUACUCCGAGUCUGUGCGGGCCCUCAGCGGUGAGAGGAGAAAAUGAAGUUUGCACUGGUGAGCUGGUCAAAAGGGAAGGAUAAAGAUGCUCUCAGUGUAGUCCCCAUAAAUGGGAUCGUAGACUUCGAUCCUGAAGACUCUAACAAGGAGUAUCUUAUCGAGUGCUGCAGUGGCAAGAGGCCUUCGAAUGGAUGGUUGGUUGAACCAGCACACAUUUUGCAGUUGGCAGGCAAGUACAGUUAUCAUUAUUAUUUUCACUUUGUUAGCCAUGAAAUAUUAAUCAGCUGUAAGCUGUUAACUUCGGGACAGUGAAAAGCUAGCUAACGUUAGCUUUAGCUAAUGAAGCGGUACUCAUGUGAUUAACAGAUGUUAGCUAGCUAACGGUGGUUAGUUGAAAAAGCAGGGGGAAAACAAUACAACAAAGUAAAACCAGCACAAAAUUGGACAGUAAAAUAAUGUACUUGAUGUAACGUAAGCCAUAUAGUUUUGUUUCUAGGCACUAAAUGCUGUCUUGCCACUAUUUUGCAAACAGAAAAGGAGUCUACACUUAAGACUGCUGAGCAGAAACUCUUGCAAGAGGGAACACCAAAAAGUAAGAAGAGAAAGAGGGGACCCAACAAAUUCUUCCUUGACACAGGAGGAAACUGUAGAACAAGUUGGAAAAAAGCCCAGUGGACACUUCAGAGGCACUUGAGGAGGAGAACAGGGCCCUUAGGGAGGAGAAUAAAAGACGAAGCUGAGUGGAGGAUCUCCCGCAGGCAGUAAAGAUCUUGAGACCCAAGUCAAGGCUUUAAAUAAGGAGAACACCAGGCUGCUCAACAUGACAGUUAAAGAAAUUCAAUCACUCUCAGUGGCUGUGAAGACCCUCAUUUCCAAUAAGAUCACAAGCUCAAGCUUGUCAAGCUAUGAAGGUGAAAGCGAAUAUGAGGCCAGUGUUGCUCUACCAUCACCUCAUCAACCCACAUCUCCCAAACCAACAUCUGGGAUGAUGACUCCACCAGAGUAUCCAGCCAUUGUUGGGAGACUGCAAAAGCCCAACCCACAGCGAAUGGAAUGGCCCGCACCCUCCUGCUGGGCCUGUUCAGCAUUGAUGUCCUACUGAAGUCCAACCUGACAGGAGGGAUGAACAAGGUCGAUCCAUCUGCAGAGAGACGUCAGCCUCUGGACCCCAAGAAGCUUAAAGCUUUACUCUAUGUAGUUGUUCAGCACCACCCAGGGGCGAAGCUUCCUGACAUAAGAAUAGCCAUAAACAAAAGGAUCUGUGAAUUAAGGCACCAGCAGAAGAAGUCCAUGGACAGCUGAAGGACUGGCACAGGGCCUUGAUAAAUUGGCAUGUGUGCACUUAAGGAUUGUUCUGUUUUUAUAACAAUAAAGAUUGUUUUCUGUUUUUUUCAUUUAUAGUUUUUUUCCCAUGUAUUGGAUUACAUACAAAUGUUGAAAACAAGUUAAAAGACAUGUUUUUAAAAAAAGAUUGUGUAGCCUGCUAACAUGUAAAGUACUAGAGACCAAAACUUGAGUAAAAGUAUUGUUAUGUGGUUAUUAAAGACAGCAGUCAAAAGUUUGAAUACCA